rnacentral:rRNA from 1 species
UUAGAGUUUGAUCAUGGCUCAGGAUGAACGCUAGCGGCAGGCCUAAUACAUGCAAGUCGAGGGGCAGCACGAGUACUUGUACUUGGUGGCGACCGGCGCACGGGUGCGUAACGCGUAUGCAACCUACCCUUAACUGGAAGAUAGCCCGAAGAAAUUCGGAUUAAUACUCCAUAAUACUAUGAACUGGCAUCUUUUUAUAGUUAAAGCUCCGGCGGUUAAAGAUGGGCAUGCGUGACAUUAGAUAGUUGGUAAGGUAACGGCUUACCAAGUCAACGAUGUCUAGGGGGUCUUAAAGGAUGAUCCCCCACACUGGUACUGAGACACGGACCAGACUCCUACGGGAGGCAGCAGUGAGGAAUAUUGGGCAAUGGACGCAAGUCUGACCCAGCCAUCCCGCGUGAAGGAUGACGGCUCUACGAGUUGUAAACUUCUUUUGUAUAGGAAGAAAAGUCUCUACGUGUAGAGACCUGACGGUACUGUACGAAUAAGCAUCGGCUAACUCCGUGCCAGCAGCCGCGGUAAUACGGAGGAUGCAAGCGUUAUCCGGAUUUAUUAGGUUUAAAGGGUGCGUAGGCGGGACUUUAAGUCAGUGGUGAAAUCCUGCGGCUUAACCGCAGAACUGCCAUUGAAACUAUUGUUCUUGAGUUCAGUUGAGGCAGGCGGAAUGUGUAAUGUAGCGGUGAAAUGCAUAGAAUAUUACACAGAACACCGAUUGCGAAGGCAGCUUGCUAAACUGACACUGACGCUGAUUCACGAAAGCGUGGGGAGCGAACAGGAUUAGAUACCCUGGUAGUCCACGCCGUAAACGAUGCUCACUGGUUGUUGGCGCUACAUUGUCAGCGACUGAGGGAAACCAUUAAGUGAGCCACCUGGGGAGUACGUCGGCAACGAUGAAACUCAAAGGAAUUGACGGGGGCCCGCACAAGCGGUGGAACAUGUGGUUUAAUUCGAUGAUACGCGAGGAACCUUACCUGGGCUUAAAUGUAAAACGACGGAUCGGGAAACUGAUCUUUCUUAGGACGCUUUGCAAGGUGCUGCAUGGCUGUCGUCAGCUCGUGCCGUGAGGUGUCGGGUUAAGUCCCAUAACGAGCGCAACCCUCAUCAUUAGUUGCCAGCGAGUAAUGUCGGGGACUCUAAUGAAACUGCCGGUGUAAACCGAGAGGAAGGUGGGGAUGACGUCAAGUCAGCACGGCCCUUAUGUCCAGGGCUACACACGUGUUACAAUGGUCGGUACAAAGGGCAGCUACCUGGUGACAGGAUGCUAAUCUCUAAAACCGAUCUCAGUUCGGAUCGAAGUCUGCAACUCGACUUCGUGAAGCUGGAUUCGCUAGUAAUCGCGCAUCAGCCAUGGCGCGGUGAAUACGUUCCCGGGCCUUGUACACACCGCCCGUCAAGCCAUGGAAGCUGGGGGUACCUGAAGUCCGUAACCGUGAGGAGCGGCCUAGGGUAAAACUAGUAACUGGGGCUAAGUCGUAACAAGGUAGCCAAGGGCGAA